CAUUAGUGCAGAUGUUGCUCUUCACAUUCAUUAUAUUUUCUCUCCUAAAAGAGAAUGCUGGUGAAGAUGUCAUAAAACCUGUCUUGACAGAGAAGCAGGUUUUGGAAGGAAAUGAUGUUACACUGAUCUGCAGCUACACUGGCACUGUUCGCAAUUUACAGUGGUACCGUCAGUAUCCCGGAUCCAAACCUGAGCACCUCAUUAUGUUCUUUGAAACCAAGUCUCAAUCAGAGCCCGCUCUCCGUCUGACCGCUGCAGCUGAUAAAGCAGCCAAAAGUAUGACUUUGACAAUCUCUUCUACAGAAGUGAAAGACUCUGCUAUGUACUACUGUGCCCUGGAGCCCACAGUGACAGGAAACACAACUGCACUGUACAAAAACAGAGUGAGAAAUGAAAUUCAAGAUGAAAAACAAGAUCCGUAUUUUAAAAACUAAUUAUGUAACCAUUAGAACGAAUUUGUAAACAAUAUAAAGUAAUAAAACUUAAACCACUCAAAGUACUUAAACUAGAUUAUUUUAAUCAAAAUUAAUAUAAUAAAGCCAGCUUACCAGCUCUAAAGGUGUUGUACAUAGUUAAAAUCCAUAACAGAAAGAUUACAAAGUUUCAGAGUGUUCCAAACCCUGUUUAAAUAAAAAUGCUGUAUUCUCAGCAGAUGCAAACUUCACUGAGAAGUGACUAUGCUGCAUUCCAAUUCCCAGCAUACCAAAUGACAUACUUGAUACACCGUA